AAUAGAUACCCCGGUAGUCCACGCCGUAAACGAUGAGUGCUAAGUGUUAGAGGGUUUCCGCCCUUUAGUGCUGCAGCAAACGCAUUAAGCAUUCCGCCUGGGGGAGUACGGCCGCAAGGCUGAAACUCAAAGGAAUUGACGGGGGCCCGCACAAGCGGUGGAGCAUGUGGUUUAAUUCGAAGCAACGCGAAGAACCUUACCAGGUCUUGACAUCCUCUGCCACUCCUAGAGAUAGGACGUUCCCCUUCGGGGGACAGAGUGACAGGUGGUGCAUGGUUGUCGUCAGCUCGUGUCGUGAGAUGUUGGGUUAAGUCCCGCAACGAGCGCAACCCUUGAUCUUAGUUGCCAGCAUUCAGUUGGGCACUCUAAGGUGACUGCCGGUGACAAACCGGAGGAAGGUGGGGAUGACGUCAAAUCAUCAUGCCCCUUAUGACCUGGGCUACACACGUGCUACAAUGGAUGGUACAAAGGGUCGCAAAACCGCGAGGUCGAGCCAAUCCCACAAAACCAUUCUCAGUUCGGAUUGCAGGCUG
rnacentral:rRNA from 1 species